rnacentral:lncRNA from 1 species
CUAUAGGAAAUUUGGUCCCCAAAUUUAGCUUACCUUAAUAGAAUAGAUGAGGAUACUGCUCUCGCAUAUCUUCUUCUCUUUCCCAUGUUGCCUCUUGGUCUGAAUGGUGUUGCUAACAAAUCUUUACCAAAGGUAUAAUUUUGUUCCUUAGAACAUGUUCUUUUCUUUUCAAGAUCUGGGUUGGUUGUUCUCUAAAAGUGACAUAAUCUCGUAAUUGUAGAGGUUGGUAAGAUAUGACAUGUGAUGGAUCCCUGAUAUAUCUUCGAAGCAUUGACACGUGGAAUACAUCAUGGAUGCUAGCCAAAGCCGGGGGCAAUGCCAAUCUGUAUGCUACAGGCCCAACCUUUUGUAAGAUCUCAAAUGGCCAAUAAAUCUUGGGGCUAACUUCCCCCUUUGACCACACCUCAUAACUACCUUGGUUAGCGACACCUUUAAGAAGACAUGCUCACCAAUUUCGAACUCUAGAUCUCUUCGCCUUCGAUCUGCAUAACUUCUUUUCUGAUGACUUUAAGCGGUUAAUAAUCUUUGACGUAUAAUUCGAAUAUUAUCAGCAUCUUUUUGAAUUAAUUGAGGCCCCAAAAGCUUCUGUUCUCCUACCUCAUCCCAAUAUACAGG